CCAAUAGCGUAUAUUAAAGUUGUUGCAGUUAAAAAGCUCGUAGUUGAACUUCGGGGUUCACCCAUUGGUCAGGCUUAAUUGUCUGCACUGGUGAGAUGAGUCUCUACCUUCUGAGGAACUUUCAUGCCAUUUAUUUGGUGUGGUUGGAAAUCAGGACUGUUACUUUGAAAAAAUUAGAGUGUUUAAAGCAGGCUAACGUCUGAAUACAUUAGCAUGGAAUAAUGAAAUAGGACGGACUGAUUCUAUUUCGUUGGUUUCUAGGAUCACCGUAAUGAAUAAUAGGGAUAGUUGGGGGCAUUAGUAUUCAAUUGGCAGAGGUGAAAUUCUUGGAUUUAUUGAAGACUAACUACUGCGAAAGCAUUUGCCAAGGAUGUUUUCAUUAAUCAAGAACGAAAGUUAGGGGAUCGAAGACGAUCAGAUACCGUCGUAGUCUUAACCAUAAACUAUGCCGACUAGGGAUCGGACGAAGUUAAUUUUAUAAUGACGCGUUCGGCACCUUACG
rnacentral:rRNA from 1 species